GGGUCAAUUGUGGCAUCAAAAGCUCACAAAGAGAGAUGAUGGUAUAAAAAAUCAUGCUCAAUAGGAUUUAACUGAAGCCC
ensembl:snoRNA LOC120100286 small nucleolar RNA SNORD115